rnacentral:lncRNA from 1 species
GUUCUAUCCGAGGGGGGGUCUUCGUUUAGUCUAUUGGUAUGGUAUUCUCUCUUUCAUUCAUUUUUGGGCGGAAGGUAUUCUCAUGUGGGUGCGUACUGCUUCUUUUCCUGCUACACCCGGAAUACUGUCAGUUCCAAACCUCCUGUGAGUGACUAUAAACGAUUAUGUCAUCGAGUGGUCAAGGUAAGAGUUUUUUUUAUCCAUUGUUGUGCGGAAGAAGACCAGAAUUAGGACGAUAUUCAUCGAUCAGUUACUCUUUGUCUACGUUAUGGAGUCUCCACUCCAUGUUGAAAGCUCUUUCAAAUAGCAUGAGCGUUGAAAGUAUGAAAUUAGACGUUAGCCUUAGAUUCUUUUUUUGACUUCUUGAGAAGACUGCUUUCCUUUGAAAGAGCUGUGGGCAUAGCUAAACUUUCUCAAAUGCGGGAUCGGGAUUUCUUUCCUCUUGAUGCGGUAGAAGAGGUCUAGUCUAGGUCAUUUCUUUUGCUAGAGAAUAUGUUGGCAAUGAUCCUUUUAUGGGAAGGGAAUCGCUAAGACCAAUCAUUCCCUAGUCUCGCCUAUAUCCUAUUGCUAUUAUAGCUGGGAUCUUCCCUAGCGGUAGAAGAGGUAAUAUCAUAUAAGUCUAGUCUCAAAUCAUUCCUUUAGUUCCAUUCGCUCCUAAAGCUGCAACUCUUCUUUUAACGUGGGGUGGGCAUAAGAGUAACUAGCUUGCUUCUACUUCUUCCAAAGAUUACCCGGAUACCCAAGUAGCAUAUCCCUCCGUAAUAUCUCUUAUAGAGUCUCAAUAAGUGAGAAGUUCCUCCCUUUUCAUACUGUCAAAUACAGGAUCAGAAUUCAAAAGGAUACCGCUUUCGACUUUCCUGUCUUACCUUUUCACAUAAGUUCCAUUCCAAUGUAUGCAAUCUAGAACAUCGUACAGGAUCAUCGCAUAGACGGACUACUUUGCUUGCUUUUUCCUUUACUGAAUAAGUGUAACUGCGGAAGACUUUGCUCUAUGUAGGAAAGUACUAGAGUGGAGUGCCCUGCCCACCUGAAAGAUCUCCUUCAGGGCUUGGACAAGAUUUGGAUCUGUCUUCUAUCUGGUACACAAGAAACUAAGCCAAUCCCUUUUGGAGCUACCUCUGAAUCCGCAAUGAGAAUGCCAAUGAAUUUUGAAUAGGUAAGUCAAUCUUCGCCGAAGCUAACAUCAUCUUUAUCACGACGAGCUGGGAUCGAAGGGAAAAAUAGUGGCUCGACUUUAUUUACGAGAAAGAGGAGGUAACCAGCUUUUGAAGGACCGAAUAGGGAGAGGUACUUGGGUACUAAAGAGAUUGAAUUGAACCUUUAGCUUUAGCAGAGAUCAGGGAUUCCCAAUAAGCAGAUAGUUCAGUUCGAAGGGAAAGAAAGAAGUCAUAGUUAGGCGAGGUUACCAGAUGCUAACUAAACUUCAGACUAAGCAGCAGACGCAAAGUCAGCACUCGAUCGACCUUAACCGCCAUAAGCAUACCCCAGAUUUCAGGGAAUAGGAAAUUGGGUACUCGACAGAAGAGAAGGUCGGGAAGAGUUUCCUAAGUGAAGGAAGACGGAGCGGGAAAGUCAAUGAACAGGGGAGCGAACUAGUCGAUCGACUAAGGCCGUUGCAGGUGGCUUGAGAAUGAGGCUAGGUCCCUUUUCCCGACAACAGAUCUCCGAUCUGACUUUCUCAAGUCAUACGUCUUUUGUUCAGCCAACAGUCUUCCACUCUACUUAUUAUGACUUACUAGCGCCCUUCACUUCAAGUCAUACGCCUUUUGUUCAGCUUAUUUCCAAAUCAAAGCUACUUGCUUAUAAGAGAAGAGCAAGGUGCGUAGCUUACUUGGUAAAGGACUCCCUAUAGUUGCGGAAUAUGCUUUUUGCCGCUAGUAAUUAAGCGUCUUUCCCUACGCUAAGCUUCCUCUCCUUGUGCGGAGCUUCCCUUCUUUCGCUAACUCGCUCUUCUGGGCAAGACGUUGUGACUUCAUUCCUACCCCCUAUAGUAUAAGAAAAGAAAAAAUGCAUUUCUUAACAGCACGGUACUCGGCUUCUUCUUUCUGGAUCAAGUCCCAGGUCAGAUCUGAGAGCGAAAGCUGUAGGUAGGGUUGGAGACCGACGAGGCUGGAGCUGUUCUCGAUCCGGCCAUGCAAUAAAUGAUACAUUUUCCGCCGAUGGUCGUGGGCUGUCUUGUUAAUAGCUCAUGAAGUAGAGCCAGAAUUCAGGGGUGAUGAUCCGCCCACACAAUUGGUAGUAUGAGAGGCUGCCACUUGGGGCCUAUAGAUUCCAUAUCCAAAGGCAACUCAGAAUGGCUAGGAAGGAAGAAAGCAUAGAAUGAAGAUUUCAAGAAGAUCUCUGUCAAGCCGAUGUUGAAGGGGCGAAGCAGCUUUACCGAGUUGACGAGGUGCAAAGAAUAUUGCGUUGACAGGUCCGAAGGCUAGGCGCAAAGUUCGGUUAAUUACGGAAAGUCCUACUUCCUUCUAAUGGAUAGUCCUCCUUCGGUUAAUUACGGAUGGUCCUACUUCCAUAUGGAUAGUCCUACGGAUAAGAAUCCUGCGGACUCCGGACUACGGAUAAGAAUCCUGCGGACUCCGGACCCUGGACCUUUCUUUGAUGGACAGGUGACGGGGGAUUUUAGACGAACUUGAACUGAAGAUCUUUCGAGAAAAAAGAGAGGAAGCCAGAAUGAAAUAAGUUACUACUAUCUAUGACUGGCCAGCGGGCGCUACUAUAUGUAUAGAAAAAGGAUAGGAGAGAACAAGGGCAUCUCAUUGAUUCUUGAAACCAAAGAUUCAGGCGGGAUGUCAGCAGAUGAAGGGAUAGAAGAUCAAUUUGUCCCUGAAGCAACUUCUUCCUCAACUCUUCUUCUUAUAGUGGAUGUGAUGGAAGUCGGCUAUAGCAACUAAAGACUCAGCAAGCGGUUGAAUAAAUAAGUGCUUGAAGAAUGAAAUUGCUACAAGAAGUCGAAAGUCUUAGUGAGACUUACCGCGUAGUGGGCGGGAACUUCUCUUGAGUGCCUUAGACUUCGUAUCCAUGGAGGCUCCAAAAGGAAACCUUCUCUCUCUGGCUUGAAUCUCCUUCGCCUAUUUUUUGGUCCGAAGGACUGAUUAUUGAAAGGUAGAAAACUCCUACAAGAUCCAGUCCGGAGUGCCAAAGAAAGGAAAGGUCCAGGGUCCGCAGUCCGCAGUCCGCAGGAUUUAUCCGUAGUCCGGAGUCCUACGUCCGCAGGAUUUAUCCGUAGUCCGGAGUCCGGAGGAUUCUUAUCCGUAGGACUAUCCAUUAGAAGUAGGACCAUCCAUAUGGAGGGAAGUAGUCCGGAGGAUUUAUCCGUAGGACCAUCCGUAAUUAACCGAAGUAGGACCAUCCAUAUGGGCCAAAGAAAGGUCCAG